GAUGAACGCUAGCGGCAGGCCUAUCACAUGCAAGUCGAGGGGUAGCAGGAUUAAGCUUGCUUAAUUGCUGACGACCGGCGCACGGGUGCGUAACGCGUAUGCAACCUACCUUAUACUGGGGUAUAGCCCGGAGAAAUUCGGUGCUAAUACCCCAUAACACUGCGGAGAGGCAUCUCUUUGCAGUUAAAGCUCCGGCGGUAUAAGAUGGGCAUGCGUCCAAUUAGCUAGUUGGUGAGGUAACGGCUCACCAAGGCUACGAUUGGUAGGGGUUCUGAGAGGAUGAUCCCCCACACUGGUACUGAGACACGGACCAGACUCCUACGGGAGGCAGCAGUGAGGAAUAUUGCGCAAUGGACGAAAGUCUGACGCAGCCAUGCCGCGUGCAGGAUGACGGCCCUAUGGGUUGUAAACUGCUUUUGUACGGGAAUAAACCCUUCUACGUGUAGGAGGCUGAAGGUACCGUAAGAAUAAGCACCGGCUAACUCCGUGCCAGCCGCCGCGGUAA
rnacentral:rRNA from 1 species